CAGAGAGCAAAAUCUCAGUCCUACAGGCAGCCAGCCCAGACAGCUGAUGGUCACAAAUCAGACUUACAGCUGAAAAAAUGGUACAGAACUCCUCAACACAGACCAUGACAGCUGCUGGAGUUUUUUUUAUCCUCGGUUUCUUUGGUGUGCUUGUCUCCACCUCUGCAACUGCUGUGUGGCUGCCUGGCUGGGCAGCUUGGAAACCCUUUCUGCUACACCUCCACCCCACCUAUGGCUAUGAACAUCUGACACUGUGUAUCACCGCACAACAACCACUGUCAGCGCCCUGCCUGCAGUUCCCCUGGGCUUCAUCUGCCUUACGCCCAGCAAGAGCUCCUGAUCCACUGCUAGUCCCACAGGCAGUGGGAUCAUUACAAUAUCAGUAUACCCAGUUAACUGUGCCAACACCUAAAACCUCAGACAUAUUUCCCUUGUUUAACCCAGACCCUUUUUUCAUGUUUUUGUAGUUUAUUAAUUUUGCAUACUGUAUAUAUAUAUAAGAGCAUCUGCCAAACUGGGAUUUAUAAUCCAAUUGUCUAUGCUUGAUGGCAG